CCUACGGGAGGCUGCAGUGGGGAAUAUUGGACAAUGGGCGAAAGCCUGAUCCAGCCAUGCCGCGUGUGUGAAGAAGGCCUUCGGGUUGUAAAGCACUUUCAGUGGGGAAGAAAGCCUUGGGGCUAAUACCCUCGAGGAAGGACAUCACCCACAGAAGAAGCACCGGCUAACUCCGUGCCAGCAGCCGCGGUAAUACGGAGGGUGCGAGCGUUAAUCGGAAUUACUGGGCGUAAAGCGCGCGUAGGCGGUCUGAUAAGCCGGUUGUGAAAGCCCCGGGCUCAACCUGGGAACGGCAUCCGGAACUGUCAGGCUAGAGUGCAGGAGAGGAAGGUAGAAUUCCCGGUGUAGCGGUGAAAUGCGUAGAGAUCGGGAGGAAUACCAGUGGCGAAGGCGGCCUUCUGGACUGACACUGACGCUGAGGUGCGAAAGCGUGGGUAGCAAACAGGAUUAGAUACCCCUUAGUC
rnacentral:rRNA from 1 species